CCUUUUGGCGGGCGGGAAGCGGCGCGUGCCGCCCCCUCAGGCGGGCGCCGCCUCCUCACGGGCUCCGCGCCCGCCCUCAGGCGGCUCCCUCAGGAGCCCGGCCCCGUUCCCCAGCACGGGAAAUCUGCCCCCGGAGCAUGGCGGAGCUGGAUGAGGACCGGUACCGGCCGGCGGUGCCUCCCCGAGCCGCCUGCGCCUACACCGGCUGCUACUGUGAGGAAAACGUGUGGAAGCUGUGCGACUACAUCAGGAGUCGGGGGGAGCGCCCUGUGGAGGAGUUCUACGCGGUUUUCAUCUCCAACGAGAGGAGGAUGGUCCCGCUCUGGAAACAGAAGUCAGGGCAUGGAGAUGAGCCUGUUGUCUGGGACUACCACGUUAUCCUACUUCGUGUCUCCAGUGGGGAGCAGAACUUCACUUAUGAUCUUGACACAGAGCUGCCAUUCCCCUGUCCUUUUGACAUGUACAGCACGGAGGCCUUCAGGCUGGAUGACAGCCUUCAUCCUGAAUUUCACAGGAAAAUCCGGAUGAUACGAGCAGAUCUGUACCUGGAGACGUUUGCUUCGGACAGAUCUCACAUGAAAGAUGCAGAUGGGAAAUGGCAGAAACCUCCUCCCUCGUACCCCUGCAUUGAAACAGCAGAAGUUGGACCACAACGCCGAGGAAGACUACAGCCUUCAUCUUCACGACCACCAGAGGGACAGAGACGACCCCCUAGCAACAGUGCGCGCAGUCGCAGAAUAUACCAGGAUGUGCUGCGUAAUCCCGGAAUUACCAAGAUAUAAAAAGGGAUGCUGGCGGGGGUGAGGUGCGUGCCGUUGGUGGAGCCGAGACUCCGUGGCCGCCCAGCGCUGUUUUGCUUGCUGUUGCUUACUCAAUAACUUCCUUUCUAUUAUUAAUGCAAUGUUCUCUGAAAAUUAAUUAAGGGGGCAACUUAUAACACUGGGGAGCUCUGCUUGGGCAUGGCUGGUGCGGCUGGUGGCGAAAGUGGGGUGGCUGGCGGGCAGCCUGCGAUGGCAACCGAUUGCGUUGCCCUUCACGGGCACCAGGCCUUGCAGCUGCCCCUGAGCAGCUCCUCUGGGAAGGAUCCAGCGCUGAAGCAUCUCACAGUGCUGGGAGCUCCCUUCACAUCAGCCACGCUAAUGCUGAAAUUCCUCCUGUCCUGCUCCCUGCCAGGCAUCCAGCCAGGUGCGGGAGCACUCCAUUUGCCUCUUCCAAGCCAUGGUGGAGGCUGUGCUGCGGCAAAGGAAGAAGGAAAUGAAGAGGACAGUGCACAGGAGCCUUCUCCCACUCUACUUUCACAUGAGAGACCAGAGUGAGAGCGUAGCAAAGGGGCAGCAACCGGCCAGCAGAGGACAGCUUGCUGGCAGUGGACAGAACCCCAGUCGAGGCCUUUUUGCCGGAAGAGGACAGCAGCCCGGCAGAGGACAGGAGACCAGCAGAGGCCAUUGCUCAGGCAGCGGGCAGCAGCCAGGUAGAGGAGAGCCAGGACGACGUACAGUGGCUGGAUCCCAGUGAGUCAGGGUCUUCGGGAUGGGGUGGGGAGGGUUGGGGACACAGAGACCCCUGCCUGACUCCAGGACUCCUUCCCUGGGUAAAGCGGCGCUUGGGCUGACGGGGCCGAGCUUCCUCCGCAGCACCACAGAAUGCCAGGACGCUUUGGGCUGGGGGGGACCUCGGCGAUCACGAUGCUUCCCCCCAGCCCAGGCUGCCCAAAGCCCACCCAGCCUGGCCGUGGGCAGUGCCAGGGAGGGGGCACCGCAGCCUGCGCCAAGGCCUCACUGCCCUGGGCGUGAAGGAGAGAAAUCCCUGCCUGUCCGAAAGAAACCUGCCCUCUUUGAGGUUAAGGCCGUCACCCCUUGUCCUGUCGCUGCAGUCCAUGAUGAAGAUCCCCCCCCAGCUUUCCUGGAGGCCCCUUUGGGCACGGGGAGGCCGCAGCGAGGUCCCCCCGCAGCCUUCUCCAGGCUCCACAAGCCCAGCUC